UGUUGUGGCUUCCCCCCCCAACCUCCCUCCCUCCCGUGGCCCUCCCCUCUCCCACUCCCUCUCCCAUCCUGCCCUUAAUCAAGUUUCAUUUUCGAUUACCUUCAUAUUCUGAAGAUCAGCUUAGUAUAUACUAAGCAAGGAUUUCACAGGCUGCACUCACACAACCGCACAAGGUAUAGGAUAUUGUUUGACUAGUAGUGUUGUUUUUAAGUUUCAUAGUAAAACACAUUAAGGACAGAGAUCCUACGUGGGGAGCAUGUACCCAGUGACUCCCGUUGUUGAUUUAACAAUUGGCACUCUUAUUUAUGAUGUCAGCAAUCACCAGAGACUCUUGCUAUGAGCUGUCUCGGCUAUGGAAGCCCCUUGAGUUCACCGACUCUGAACUUGUUUAGUCAAGGCUGUAUCACAGUGGAGGUUCCUUCCUCCCUUCAGAGAAAGGCGCCUCUCUCCUUGAUGGCCUGUUUCUUCUGCUGGGGUCUUGUUCACCAGGAUCUUUCAUUUAGAAUGUUUUUUGCCACCAUGUCAUGGCUUUCCAUGCCUGUGAGACUCUCAUGGACCUUUUAGCCAGAUCCGAAUGUCCCAAGGGUUGAUUCUGAGGCAGGAGUGCUGCCAUUCUAUGAGUCUGCUGUGUGUCCUGUUUCCCCCGCAGGAUCAUUCUCUCCCUUUUAAUUCUAUCCUUCAUUAUUUGCUUACACUGGUCUUAUUUGUGAAAUCUAAUUGACACAUACCCUAUCUUUUUGAUCAGUUUUGUAUUUAUGCUUAUCACUUUACCAAGUGCGCUGGCAUUGGUACCUGCCUCCAUGGUAAGAUUGAGUUGAAAUCCCCUGGCACAUUUCUAGUUCCACCAUUGGAGGCACAGUCCUCUUCUUUGGCCCCUCUGAAAGACUACACCUCAGGUCUGGAUUCCUGUGUCAGAGGAACAGAAAUGCUCUUUCUGCGGAGAGUUUGGUGCGGUGGCCUUCCUGUCACUGGGCUGCACACACGAAGGAGAAAGCAGAAGCUUAGAGAAACACCAAGAAUCCCUCUGUGCUGUGUUCCAGCCUGUCCCAAGAUUCUGACACCUCAUAGUCUUGUGUCCUGGUACACACCAGUGGGGAGUCUUGAGCUGUUGGGAGAGUCUGAGGAGGACACCUUGCCACCCUGGGACUGGAACUGACUUUAAGAGGGACCCUGAGCGUUGUGGAGUUCUUCAUUGGAACAUGUGCUAAGCCAUGGCCCUAAGAACAAGGAGGUGAGCAGCCAAGAGCAAUACCUGCAGGGAGGGCCGGGAUGCUGGUGUCAAAGGAGUGGCAAUGGAUUCAACAGGACCCUCAGGUUUGUCCAUCCUUGCCUGGAGUCAUGCUGCUUUCAAGUGUGCACAUGGUGAUUCUUUUGUGCAGACUUCAGAGGAGGUCCCAGCACCUGGGCAGCAUGAGUCUCCUCUGCCCAGCAGCCUUCCCAGAGUAAAAGGCCACCCAGACCAUCCUGCUGCUGGCUCCACAGCGGCCUCGAGGUCUUGCAGCAGGAUGUCAUAGAAACUGCUUCAUACUUGUGGAGAAAUAAACACAAUUCUGCUGUGAGAAUACGACACUCAGGAGGAGGGAGCUUGUGGAGCUCUUUGGAAUCACAGUGCUCUGCCUGAGGAACGGGGUGUCUGUCCCUGGCGGUGGAGCCAUGAAAUCAAGGCUGCUUUGCACCAAGUGCCGGGAGAGCCGUCUUCUCAUCCCCAUCAGACACAGACGUUUCUGUUGAGGAGAAGCAUAUGCUCUUCAUGUCAGUUCCGCACCUGGACCAGGCCUCAGCCCUGUUUUCUUCAGGACCUCUCAGGUUGAUGGGUGAGGAGACCCGUGGGAGGAGGACUUAGAAGUCCGGAGGCUGAGUGCCUUCUAGUUGUGCACAGAAACACCCUGUACGUGUCUUCCUUAAUUGCAGAGUGUUCCUGAUGUCAUGGGCACGUAGGAACCAGAGAGGAACCUCUGCCCUGGACCUCUCUCUGCUGGAUCUCAGCUGCCUCAUGUUUCCUGGUGCUGUUUUUUUUUUUUCUUUAAGAGUUUAUUCAAGUCAGAGGUAUCUGCAUUUAUAGCUUCUUCCUGAUAAUUCUUUCCUCUCCUGAUGGAGUUUCAUUUCUCCUGUGUUUCAGGAGAUGCCUGGGGGGGGGUGGUGUCCCCCAUUGGAUUCUAGUCUGAGGGAGUCUUCCAUGAUGGAAGUAGAUCUGUGUGUGAAAUGGAUACAUGAGUGAGUGUUGAGGGAGACGUUGGUUAACAGAUGGACAUUGCAGCCAUCCGGCGCAGUGGGAUGCCUGCAUCCCUCACUGGAGUUUCUGGUUUGAGUUCAGGCUCCUCUUCUUCUGACCCAGCUUCCUGUGAAUGCGCUCCAUGGGUGGCUGACACUCAUGCAGAGACCGGGUUUGAGCUUUGGGCUUCUAGCUUUGGCCGAGCACCGCCUUGGCUGAGUCACACCCGGAGCAGAAGAAGCUGACUGAAGUGGGCCUGGGGCAUCAGAAUGACGCUGGAUGCGGCAGGGUGCAGAUGUGUCCCGUGGCGCCAUGGCGACGGCCAGUGGGACUGCGCCCGCCUGCGUCCUGCACUUUGACCCGGAAGUGCACACGCACGCAUGCAUACCCCGACUGCCCGCCAGCGCUCUUGUGGGAGUCAGCACCGCGUCCGCUGCUGCCCAAGAGCCUGCACAAGCUGUGAGGAGCCGUGCUCGACGCUGCUGGCCAAGACUGAGGGAGACCCAGCGGCUCCAAGGUCAGGCCAGGAUCAGGAGAGGCUGCAUGUCUGAGGCUGCAGCACUAUUUCCCAGGCGCGGUUGUCUUCUUCAGCCCCUUCCGGAAGCAACGGCCUUGGCAGACCUCUAUCCCGCCAGCAGACCGGGCCCCCUUGGAGGUGGGCAAGUGGGAGAACCAGACCCUGAGCCCGAGGCCCACGGUGAGGCCCCGGUACAAGUCCUUCUCUGACUGUGAGCUGGAUCACAACCACCUGAGCAUCAUCACCCUGGAGGAGGCCCCCUUCGUCAUCGUGGAAGACAUCAACCCGCUGACUGAGGCCUGUGUGCUGAACACGGUGCCGUGUCGGAAGUUCAUCAAAAUCAACAAUUCAGCUAACAAGGGGAUGAACUUUAAGAAAUGCUGCAAGGGGUUCUGCAUUGGUAUCCUGAAGAAGCUCUCCUGGAUGGUCAAGUUUACCUAUGACUUCUACCUGGUGACCAAAGGGAAGCAUGACAAAAAUGUCAACAAUAUGUGGAUUGGAGUGAUUGGGGGAAGUGGUUACCACAAAGCGGUCCUGGCAGUGGGCUCGACAACAUCAAUGAGGAGCAUUCUGAAGUGGUGGAAUUCUCCGUGCCCUUUGUGAAGACAGGGAUCAGUGUCAUGGUUUCAAGAAGCAACGGCACUGUCUCGCCUGCUGCUUUUCUAGCUUCUUGGUGUCCAGCAUUGCAGCAUUCUUCCUCGGAUGCUGUGUAGAGCCCCGGCGCUGGACUUGGAACAAGGAGGUGAGCUCCAUGAUGAGCAACACCUGCAGGAAGGCUGGGCCGCUGGUGUCUGAGGAGUGGUAGUGGAUUCACUGGGCCUCUGACUCAGGUUCAUCCAUCCUCACCUGAAUGUGGUGAAUUAAGUCUCUGUUCCUACUGGUCAGCAGUAACUAGUGUUGACCUUGAAGAGUCAUUCCUCUGGCUUCAUUUCGCUUGGGAUUGCUAUUGUGGUGACUCCUCCCC